CACAUCUCUAUUACUCACAUUCUUUCUCUUUUCCUUUCCUUUCUCUGUUAUCAUUUGUUAUCUUUCCCCUCCUUUAUCUCUUUCCUACUCUGUAUAUCUAUACAAAACUAUCCAUUCAAUAAUAGAAAAUAAAAAGAAGAAAAUAACACCAUUUGUUUUUUAUCAAGUAUCACAUUUUGUUUAUUUAUUUUUGACGGAUCAACUAGUUGCAUUUUACCUUAAUUGGUUGUUUUGUUCUGUUUUGUUUUGUUUUCAUGAAUGCUUAGAUAUCACAUUUAUAUAUCAAAAUUAUUUGGAGGAAGAUAAUGGAAAAUGCAGUGCCAAGGGAAGGAGAAUUAGCUUUCUUUUUAUCCUUCAUGUCUUUAUGUAUGGUGUCACCGUUGCUCUAAUAAGGCUUUUGGCGUGGGGAUAUAUAGUUUCUUCCAUGGGUAACAAGAUGAAGGGGAUCUUCAAAGGAUUCAAAUUUAUAUUUAAUAAUUUUGAUGAGUCAAUUCAAGAAAGGGCCGGAUUUUGCAGUAGCUUCUAUUGGUAAUUCUGGCACUUCCCUUUCUCCAUGGACAUCUCAAGAUGGAGAUUCAAAUGGAGCGCAAUCAACAUCUGAGAUUAACAAGGACAGUCCGACUAAUAAGGAGGCUAGUGUUAAGAAGCAGAGGAGGAGGAAGUGCAAGGCGACUUCUUCACCGAAAUCUAGUUCAUCAUCAAGAGCAGAGAAAUCCAAGACUAAAUUUGUAGGACAAUCCAAACCAACAAAUAUAGAAGUGGCUUAAUGCCAGGAAAAAAAAAACAGAUCUUGAUUAUUCUGCCUAUCGAUUUUUUUUUGUUAAAUCCUGGCGAUGGUCAACUAUACAAAGACAUUGAAGAGGACAGUAAGGAGGGAAUAGAAAAUCGCUUAAAUACCAGAAGGGAUGCAUUGUAAAUGUGAAUGUGAAAUACAGAAGAAAAGUGUCUAGAGAUGUGAAACAAAAAUUGUAAAAUCUAAUCUCUAAAUGGAGAGAAAUGCUUUUGGGAAAAAAAUUAA